ensembl:snRNA U1 U1 spliceosomal RNA
CUACUUACCCAGCUUGGAAGAGGACAGCCUGAUCAGGAAGGUGGUUUUCCCAGGGUGAGACUCAUCCCUUGCAUUUCUAGAAUGGUGAUCUUUAAUCUUCCCAAAUGCAGGAAAUCCAGCUGCACCAUUUGUGGUUAACUGGGCUGUGUUCCCUUUCUUCCUGU